AUAUUAUAUACGGUCUCUUUUAUGAAAAGAACGAAGCUUGAAGAAACAUACUUUGUUUUUUGGAUCACUAAACUCAAAGAAUGUGCAGUCCCUCCAUAUCAAGUAUACUUUCCUUCAAAACUAUCUUUAAUUAUUUUAGGUUAUAUUUUAACUAUUUAAAGCAUCUAACAAUCUGAUGAGCUUGUUCUAACCACGAUCUUUCACAACAUUUUGCAGAUGUUUUCCCCAAUUUCUAUGCCAAAAUAGGAUCCUUCUCCUCAAAUUCCUCCUGGUGUGAGCAGGGUGUAACUGAAAAGAGUUGGACGAGAUUAUCUCUUUGACUGAAUACAUUCCUACAUCUAGCUUUUCUUUGGACCCAAUUCUUUCAGAGUAAAAUGUCGAUUCGAACAAACAAGAUGAAAGCAGUAGCCGUGUUGAUGAAGCAGUUGACGACAGCAAGGAACAAAUUCCAUGAAAAGGGAAGAGAUGAAUCAUUUUAUAAGAAAUUGGAGAAGUUGUGGUUGGUUCUGAAUAUUAUAAAGGAUGUGUUUGUGGAAGUGAAGAAGAAUGAAGAAAAACUGCUGGACACAUUAGCAGAGGUGUAUGGCCAUCUUCAGAGGUUAGACCGUAAGAAGCUGGAUGAAGACAUGGAGGGCAUUUGCAAGAGGAUUAGAGAUUCCGCUCACAAUUUGCUCCCAACGCUUGUUUUUGACGACUCAUAUA